UGGGUACCCUGGUGAAAAGCCCUGCCCGCAUGCGCGCAGGUCGGCUCAUCUUGCACUCCAGCAGCAACACAGACUAACCUGGCAUUUGAUGUGGCACAGAAGAGUCAAGUACCGAAGGAAAAUACGAGCAUAAGUUGCAGUGUACGCCUGGCACCCAAUCCGGUGAGUGUAGGUGUAAUGUGGGCGGGUCGGUGAUUGUUAUUACACGAGCGAUGUGUGUAUGUAAGAAAAUCCAGUUUGUCUUCACAUAUUCAGGAGGUCAUCAUCCGCAGACAAGUGGAGUUGGAGCAUGCUUGCCUGCUUCAUUAUUACUCCUUGCUUGCUGUAACAAGUGCAAAAUGCUGCCCGUCCUGGUGCCCUUUUUUCUUUUUUCCCUCCUAUAUUUCCUUGGUUCUGUCGUGGGCCUACGGCUGUCUGUGGUGAUAGGAAUGUACUACUAAAGGAGCGGUGUAUGAGAUCACUUUAAAGGUUUGUCGUGAACCAUGGAAAUUCCCAUGCAGCAUCAGCCAGCAAAUCCCGGCAGUAUGCACCCCCCACCCACCCUGGAUUGGAAGCAAGCCAGCAGGAAACCGCGCAUGCUUGCGAAGCCUCGUUCCAAUAACAUGUAUUUGCUCGUCUGCUAUGCAUGGCGCUUGCUGGUUGCUUGUUACACUUCCCUCUGCCGCAUGCAUACAUGGCUGAUAGUGCGGUGUUUCUUUUCUCCGUGGCUUUUAGGCGUUUAUAACACCUAAUUAGGUAUUAAUACUGCCCUUGGGCCUUCGGCUCGUAUGGGUAGUUUUUACAGGUAUGGGGCCACGCAGCCCCAACCCUGCGACACACAUAUGCCUACACAAAUUAGCGAGAGCUUCUAUCUGCAUUGUAUGUAAUGUGGAUGGCAUAUAUCUGCCAUCCAGUGACAACCCGAAUGCGUGCAUGGCAACCUCCAGGUAAACUGCUGCACGCACCUCUUACUAAUGCACCUUCCAAUGGUCGACCCAUGGGACUUGCAGGUGCUCCAUGCGAAUUGACGAACCUGCUUCAUUGUCCACUCUCAUGUUGCUCGCUUACUACCCAAUUACAUUCUGGGUUGCAAGUAGCACACGCAUGCAUACUUCCUCUCAUGCAUUUUCCGUUUUUCGUCAGUCGCUUUUCAGCUUCUUGCUGUGUUUCUAAUCGCCCAUCGGUAUAGCAGAUGGGCGGGUGCCGCUUGUUGCAGUCGCUGCAGCUGGUUGGAUGCAUGGAUUCUUUAAGCAUGGGUAGAUACGCACGCCCACAGAACACAUUAUGUUCAUGUAUCCAAAAUUAUUCACACGUUCCGAGGUUCUGUGCAUUUGUGCGCAUUCUCAACAGGUUAGCUCCACGGCAAUUCUUUUGUCUUCGUUGGCACAGCAAUUUUGUAUUGGUGCAUGCUCCUUGUGCGUGGGUGGGUAGGUGUAUGCAGCAUGUAUGCACGCAGGUGCAAUACAUGCAUGCAUGCAUGCAUGUGUAAGUAUUUCGCCCAGCUCUGCUGAACCUGUUUUUCACGCUGUGCAUGUGGAAACGUAAUCCCUGAUGGUCAGGUGGACCCUUCUCGGGAGAUGCAAGCGCUCAGGAGCAACGUGUAUGAUGCUUUGGUUGCCCUCGAUGGCAUCUGUCCGCUGGGACCCGUAAAUGGUGCAUGGGCGACUUCCGGAACUAAGGUUUGUGCAGUUCAGGCCUUACAUUUCAUUUUUCAUUCAUUCCCUAACAAGACGAUGCAUGCAUUGUGCAAGGCACACCGCACGGUUUUCCGGGUGACGGGUCGUCGGUGCAGCUGGGCUUCAUUGGUCGGUUAUCAGUUAUCAACUCCUGCUAGCCGCCACCCUUACAAGACACUAUCUAGCGCUACACAUACACGCGUAUAUGCACAUUAUGAACCACAUGAAUAAUAACGUUGAAGAUGAGCAAGGUGCUUACGGCCAUCUGUCAAUCAAGCUGCAGACUGGCUUGGCUGCUACCGCUAAAUGUCGGUCAACAUAUGUAGCAUGCCUCCGCCCGAUUGGUACUUUUCUGAGGAUUUGGUACAACAAUUGGUAUCGAGCAGAGUUCUCAGUUCCGACCUC
rnacentral:lncRNA from 1 species